ACAUGCAAGUCGAGCGGACAGAUGGGAGCUUGCUCCCUGAUGUUAGCGGCGGACGGGUGAGUAACACGUGGGUAACCUGCCUGUAAGACUGGGAUAACUCCGGGAAACCGGGGCUAAUACCGGAUGGUUGUUUGAACCGCAUGGUUCAAACAUAAAAGGUGGCUUCGGCUACCACUUACAGAUGGACCCGCGGCGCAUUAGCUAGUUGGUGAGGUAACGGCUCACCAAGGCAACGAUGCGUAGCCGACCUGAGAGGGUGAUCGGCCACACUGGGACUGAGACACGGCCCAGACUCCUACGGGAGGCAGCAGUAGGGAAUCUUCCGCAAUGGACGAAAGUCUGACGGAGCAACGCCGCGUGAGUGAUGAAGGUUUUCGGAUCGUAAAGCUCUGUUGUUAGGGAAGAACAAGUACCGUUCGAAUAGGGCGGUACCUUGACGGUACCUAACCAGAAAGCCACGGCUAACUACGUGCCAGCAGCCGCGGUAAUACGUAGGUGGCAAGCGUUGUCCGGAAUUAUUGGGCGUAAAGGGCUCGCAGGCGGUUUCUUAAGUCUGAUGUGAAAGCCCCCGGCUCAACCGGGGAGGGUCAUUGGAAACUGGGGAACUUGAGUGCAGAAGAGGAGAGUGGAAUUCCACGUGUAGCGGUGAAAUGCGUAGAGAUGUGGAGGAACACCAGUGGCGAAGGCGACUCUCUGGUCUGUAACUGACGCUGAGGAGCGAAAGCGUGGGGAGCGAACAGGAUUAGAUACCCUGGUAGUCCACGCCGUAAACGAUGAGUGCUAAGUGUUAGGGGGUUUCCGCCCCUUAGUGCUGCAGCUAACGCAUUAAGCACUCCGCCUGGGGAGUACGGUCGCAAGACUGAAACUCAAAGGAAUUGACGGGGGCCCGCACAAGCGGUGGAGCAUGUUGGUUUAAUUCGAAGCAACGCGAAGAACCUUACCAGGUCUUGACAUCCUCUGACAAUCCUAGAAGAUAGGACGUCCCCUUCGGGGGCAGAGUGACAGGUGGGUGCAUGGUUGUCGUCAGCUCGUGUCGUGAAGAUGUUGGGUUAAGUCCCGCAACGAGCGCAACCCUUUGAUCUUAGUUGCCAGCAUUCAGUUGGGC
rnacentral:rRNA from 1 species